GAUGAACGCUAGCUACAGGCUUAACACAUGCAAGUCGAGGGGUAACAAGAGAAAAGCUUGCUUUUCUUGUUGACGACCGGCGCACGGGUGAGUAACGCGUAUCCAACCUGCCUAUAACUAGGGAAUAACCUUGCGAAAGUAAGACUAAUACCCUAUGAUUUCCUUUGAUGACAUCAGAUUAGGAAUAAAGAUUUAUCGGUUAUAGAUGGGGAGCCGUCUGAUUAGCUUGUUGGCGGGGUAACGGCCCACCAAGGCAACGAUCAGUAGGGGUUCUGAGAGGAAGGACCCCCUCAUUGGAAAUGAGAAACGGUCCAAACUCCUACGGGAGGCAGCAGUGAGGAAUAUUGGUCAAUGGGCGGAAGCCUGAACCAGCCAAGUAGCGUGCAGGAUGACGGCCCUAUGGGUUGUAAACUGCUUUUAUACAGGAAUAAAGUUAGCCACGUGUGGUUAUUUGUAGGUACUGUAUGAAUAAGGACCGGCUAAUUCCGUGCCAGCAGCCGCCGUAA
rnacentral:rRNA from 1 species